GAAAUUUUUUUAUUGGAGGAAAGAGAAAGAAGGACAAUGGAAGGAUUUAAUUUUUCGAACUCUACAUUAAAUUUAUGAAUUCUAUAUUUUAUCAAAUAAUACGACAUAAUCGUUAUUCUCUAAAAGCUUAAAUUGAUAUGGAACGCGCAUGCACUCGAGACUCUUCGCUAGGCUCAUGAUGUAGAAUUGAAUGGAAGAAAAUUAAUAAUGUUAGGAGCCUCACAUAACUCGAACUCAAGACCUCAUACUUUGAUGUCAUAUUAAUAAUACGAAACAACCGUUAUUCUCUAAAAAAAUAAUGGUAUUUUAAAUAUUUUUAUAUUUAACAAUAUUGGUUCAUCUUAUCAAUAUAAGAAUCAUCUUAAUC
rnacentral:lncRNA from 1 species